CAUGAAUAAAUCAUGACAGCUGGUAACAGUUUCUGUCUGCAGAUUUAAUGACCCAGGCACAUUUUGGUAUCUUCCACUGAUUGAAGGAGGGAUUGUGGAUUUGAUAGGUUUAAGUGCAGAUACCUUUACUUUCGGUUUCUCCUUUGUCUUACAGCUGGUUGUGAUGCAUCCUCUCAUUAGACAAGAGUUGGGACUAUGUCUCUAUCAGUCACUUCAAAAAACACCCUGGAGGAGAAGCAAGCACUUCACAGCUGUUUAGUUUGCCAUUAUGUUGGCGUUUUCCUGUCUGAGUUAAUGCUCAGAAAAAGAAAGGCUCCCUGUGGGCUCUUUAUGCAGUUUCAGCACUGGACAGCUCCUGAAGCAGAGCUCCAUAGUUUUCCUUCACUGGUGACAAUCUGAGAAGGGCAAACGUUCACAGGGAUUGAUUGAAAAAUGCCUCACUGAAGGAUAUAAAUACUUGAUCUUAGCAUUUUUGCUGGUUACACAAGAUGAUAAACAGGCAGUGCUUCAGAGGGCUACUAAUGGCCAGUGUUUUUCACUCAUGUAUUACAGCUCCCACAGGCUGUGUGUGCAGCUUUGAUUUGUGGGGAUCAAAGUGAUUCCCCAGGAUCUGCCAAAAAAAGAGAACCCUGACCCUAAAAUGAAGGAGAAUGUAAGUGAGUAGAAGACACUAUUGUCAGCAUCAUUUUUUUUCUAAUGCAGGACUAAAAAGCAGCUCAUAAUGAUAUAGAAACUUUGUGUUACUCAGUCAAUCAAUCAAUUAACCCUAGAACACUAUUGCUAAAAUUGGUAACUCUAUCACUAUCGCUGGGGGAUUUUUACCCAAAACAAUGUACCAUUAGGGGACUAUAAAAAAUGCAACAUAAUAACUGAAAAUAGGCAUUCAUGAACAAAAAUAUUCACAUAUAUAUAUAUAUAUAUAUAUAUGAGUAAACUUAGUUCCUUUUCCACCCAUUCCUGGAGCAUGUGAGUCUUCCCACUCAGGGUCCUUGGCACAAUAAAAGCUGCAGGGGAGAGAACCAAAAUAUGGCAGAUUUUGAGUAAGUAAAAAUGACCAGCUGACUACAAUAUUUCUUAUCACCAUAUAAAUUCUCUUGAAAAACACUACUUUGUUCUAGUUAUUCAUAACCACUGCGCUAAAUAAAGAUAGCACGCAAAUUCCAGGACCACUCUUACUGACCUUUUUUCCCUACAUGCAGCUUUCAAAUCCACCUAAACCUACUUUACCCUCUAUCACUCUUGCCGGGUGAAAAUCACCUGAACAUGUACCUGUAGGAAAAAGCAGGUUUUGGAUCAGGGAAACAAAUAUGCCUUUAAAGAUGUCAAAGGCAAUGCUGAAGCUACCCAGGGACACAUGAUACUCAGACAAACGCAACAUAAUGAAAAUCACGUAAACAUAUUUGGUCGGGUGAAAAUCACCUGGCGUUAGUGUUCUAGGGAUAACCAGACUUUAUUUAUGUAGCACUUAUCAUACAAAAAGUUGUCACACAAAUUUACCUGCUGUCCAUUAAAAACAAUCUCACAUGCCCUUCCCCCCAAUGAGCCUACCCCCACAACUGCCUUACCGCCCACAGCCACAGGACACUGACACAUGGCCCAGAGGACAGCUGGAGCAGCCACCAACCUCCACCAGGAAUCCACGAGACAGGCCCCCAGACCACAGAGGGCUCCCCAAGAGGAAACACUAUGGGUCCUAAAGAUUAUUAAAGGAUAAAAAUAAGUUAAAAAAACUAAAAUAUGAAUAAAACACAGACUUUAAAAUAAUGUAGGUAGGCAAAGAUAAAUAUGGAAUAAGAAACCUAAGCAACCAGCAUAAAUGAAGAUCAAAUAAAUACAUAUUAAUCAACAGCUAGGCUAAAGAGGUGGGCCUUGAGCCCACUCUUGGAAACAUAAACGUCCUCUGCAACCCUGAGGUCCUCUGGCAGGCUGCAAAGAUGAGGGUUGUGAUACUGGACAGACGCCUCCCUGUGAGUGUGUGUCCUGACUUGGGAAUGACUAAGAGCCUGUUGCCAGAGGAGGUUCCUAAAAGCAGUUCUGAGAGAUAAGAAGGCCAGAGACCCAUUGAUACAUUUAAAAACAAGUAAAAGAACCUUAAAAUCGAUCCUAAACCACACAGGGAGCAAAUGCAAUGAUUCCAAAACCAGUGUAAUAUAUUUUAAAUGAUACCGAGGGUUAAACUUCAGUUUCUAUCUUUGUGUUAUUCAGACAGAUGCUGAUAAUUUGACACAGAUAGAGGAUCAUGAAUAAAAUGGCUUAUUGUAUAAAUACCUUAGUGAACCUUGGCUUUUAGCAACAUUAGACUUAGUUUGUUUCAGUGCAACACUUUCCAAGAGAAAAAAAAAAUACACUUAUUAAGCCAAAGUUCCUCCUAUUGUUGAAAAGAAUAUAGGAUUUGGGUGUAAUUUCCAUAUAAAUUGUUGUUUUUCUGUUUUCCAUAGAAAAGGAACAAAGUAAUAAGUUUAGUUGUUCGCUCUCUACACCAAAGGAAGAGUCAGCCAGAGGUCAUACUUUGGAGAUCCUUUUUUUAAUGCAUAAAAUUGUUUUAAAUUAAUCAUUUUGUUGCCGCACCUGACCCAGGAGCAGAUUUUAAAGGAGAAAUAACAAAAGGCUUAAGCAGGGCACACACUCCAAGACAAUCAUGCUGACUUGGAGCCGAUUUACCCCCUCUGA
rnacentral:lncRNA from 1 species